CAAAGGAUAAACACCCCUAACUAUUACACCUCGGUUCUCUUCUCUCACUCACGGCGUUCAUCUCAACUGCUACCCAUUAAAUCACGGUCUCUGUAGUUGUCCGACAGCAUAAGCCAUCCAAAAGUUGUGGGAGUGAGCACCGUGGUUUUACUGAUGAGGAGCGACGUUAAACAGUCUGCCUCCAUCUUCAAGCGCAGUGUUCGUCAAAUUCGCCACUGGCUCGAGGAAGAGUCUGCUUCUGCUGCUAAG